rnacentral:ncRNA from 1 species
GAUAACUGUCCAGUGGUGAACAAGCAAUCAAACUGACACUGUUUUCUGAACCUUAGAUGUUGGCUUUUUUUGUUAUUGUGAAGUAGAGUUCACUAAAUGCUGGGUUGUUCACUCACUAACAAGAAAUAGGAGCUAGAAUUACAACAUGGUAAUACAGGUU